CCUACGGGGGGCAGCAGUGGGGGAUAUUGGACAAUGGGGGGAACCCUGAUCCAGCGACGCCGCGUGAGUGAAGAAGUAUUUCGGUAUGUAAAGCUCUGUCAGCAGGGAAGAAAGAAAUGACGGUACCUGACCAAGAAGCCCAGGCUAACUACGUGCCAGCAGCCGCGGUAAUACGUAGGGGGCAAGCGUUAUCCGGAAUUACUGGGUGUAAAGGGAGCGUAGACGGUGCAGCAAGUCUGAUGUGAAAGGUCGGGGCCCAACCCCGGGACUGCAUUGGAAACUGUUGAACUGGAGUACAGGAGAGGUAAGCGGAAUUCCUAGUGUAGCGGUGAAAUGCGUAGAUAUUAGGAGGAACACCAGUGGCGAAGGCGGCUUACUGGACUGUAACUGACGUUGAGGCUCGAAAGCGUAGGGAGCAAACAGGAUUAGAUACCUGAGUAGUC
rnacentral:rRNA from 1 species